ACUCAAUUUCCUUUCUUGAGAAACAACAGCGUCCUUGGGAAAGUAGGUGGAGGAAAUUUUGUCAGCAUCCUUGGAUCUGAAGCAACAAGGACUGAGGUGAAAGCAGGACGUUUAUUCGUUUGACCAAUAUUUGUUAAUGCUAAUGAAAUGCCAGGCACAGUCCUGUUUAGUGAAUGAAAGAGACAAAACUCUUUCCUUAGGGAGCUUGCAUUCUGGCAGCAGAGAGCAACAAAUAAAAGGGCAUCCAGAGCAGGCCUCCUGGAACAAAGAUUUGAAGGAGUUAAGGGAGUGACCCUGGGCCUAUCCGUGGGAUGAAAGCUCCAGUGGAGCAAAGUCCUUCAGGCAGGAGCAAGGGGGCAUGCAGUGUGGUCCAAGAGGAGGGAGCGAGGGGAAGAGGAUGAGAGGGGGACGGUGAAGAGGCAGCAGGGCUAGCCUGUGGGACGCAGAGAGGAUCGGCCCCUCCAGCAGCCCGAAGUGACUGGGACAGAUUGCAUCCCUCGGGCCACAGCACAGCCAGGUUUCUGAAGGCCUGUGGUGGUGGUGGCCGAGGCAGGACGCUCCCUGGCAGUGCCUCACCCAUGUGAAGGGAGGAACAUUGGAGGAUGGAAGCUCCUGUUCCAGUGCCUGUGACAGAUUGUGCCAUCGGGGCAAGAUGGCGUGCAGUGUCAUGGGACUGCCUGGCACGUUGGAAGCGUGGCUGCGCCUGUGGUGUAAGGAAUCAGUGGAUUCCAUGUCCCUCUGCACAGAAUCGCCAGGAAGUGACCCACUGGGAUGUGGACAGACACAGGUAUGUUGUGUUGCUGACACAUACUUAAGUCAUAGACCUAGGGACAUUAACUCAAAUGUGAUUUUCCAAAACUGUCAACAACUCUCAACAAAGUUACAAGCAACACAAAAAGCCAUCUUCCCUGAUUGACAACAAAAUGUACUAGAAAAUUCAGUGUAUUUCUAACCGUGUGAGAAAUGCUUGCAUUUAGAUGUGAAAUGGAAUUAGGUUCUGGGCUGAGAUAAUUAUAGUUUUCAGCUACAUGGAUAUUCAGCCACAUAUUUGAAAAUCAUAUGGGCCAUAGGUGAUUUUUCACCUUGUGGGGCUGGAGUGAGCAACACAGAAUGUCUGGCAGCCCAGACCACGAAAUUUCAACAGUGCUUCUCCAAUUCUUAAGAGAACUCAGCCUUUCCCCACUGGGAGAGGGGAAGAGAAGGCACCAAAUAUUUAUCAAUUAGCUAUAGUGGUCAAGCAGCGUGCCUCGCUGUUUACAGACAUUUGUACGCAAGCCAUGUGAUACCUCUAACUGGUGCACGCUCGAGUGCUCAUUUGACACAUGCAGGGAGUGAGGCCGGGAGCUUGCUGCAACUCACAGAGCCGGUAAGUGAGGAGCCUCAAUUUGAAUCUAGGUCUGUGUCAGUCCACGAUCGGACAUUAACAAAAAUGUGCUAAUGGUGAAGAGAAAGCGGCAGGGGUACCUGGUCAAAUCUCCUCUGGAAACGAUGAAAAGGAAAGGGGGCAGGUUUUUUAUUUGUUUGUUUUCUGGUUUUGGCACGACUUAAGAGCUGCUGUGCCUGGAGAUAUGGAAUAGACAAGGUGAUUUCUUGGGGUCCAUUCCAACCCUAUGAAAUUAUGCUUUUGUGAAAGAUCUUUAAUGUUUUCAAAUGAAUUUUCAAUAGUAAACACUUUGGACUGUCAAGCACACUUUUUUUUGUCUGAGCUGCAUAUUAAUAAGGUUUGAAGUGGGCAAACUGCCAGAGGAAAUUCAUCCCCAUAAACUGGAAGUUUGUCGUUCGGAUUCUUGGCCCUGCGUUUGCCAGAUUCCGUUACUGCACCUGGGGUG
rnacentral:lncRNA from 1 species